AGUGGAAACCCGCAUGAUGUGAAUUCAAUCUCCUUUGGAAAUCAGCCUCUCAGUAACUUCUGUGCAUCAGAUGCUUUUAUGUGCUUUGUGAGCAGAUGGAAGGAAUGUAUUGAAUUUCCCAAGGGCUGUCUUGGGGGAAUGGCUGCACCUUUAGCAGUUUUCAGCAAAGGAUUUGAAAAGUAAUGAGAUCCAUUGUAUGUCUAGGAAAUACUAUCCGCCAUUACUGCGACUUGUUGUCUGAAACCGUGACUGAAGAUGGCAUCUCCCGCCUGUAUGAAGCUUUUCAGGAAGUGCCUUUGACAUCUGACAGGACCACAGGGUGCAUCCUCAGGAGACAUUACAAAUGGCUGCAGAAGCUUGCAAAUCUUGUGUCGGGUUCUGCAUUUGACUAGGGAACUGUGACCGACACGGAAGACCUCUUUGUCCUGCUAUGACAUCUAGAGGCUAACAGGAGCCAACUGAGCCCACCGCCGAUCACAUCUCUUGUGAGACGCCAAAGCAGCUGUUGCCUGGGAAGGAGGAGACAGAAGAGGCAGAGCAGGAUGUGCCGGGUGCACCAGCCACACAGAACCCCAUAGUCUAGGCGGAGGAAGCCAAGCCCCUCCCCAGCCCUGCCGGACAUGCUACAGCUGGAGCACCCGUGUGAAAGGGAGCAGCUCAGCUCUGUCUAGGCAGAGCGCCGAAAAUGGAGGAUGCACAUUGUGGGCUCCAGUCCAGAAGCAGCUGAAGCCCCUGAAUGCAGAGCCGCGAGAAGCCAAGACCCAGCCGCAUCCCCAAGGCCCUGCAGACGUGCAGGGGAGAUUGGAGUCUCUGGGAGUUUCCUAUGCCGGGAGCCCAGAGACCCCCAGCCCAUGGCCUAGAGACAUCUUGUAGGAAGUAACCUGGGUGAACCAGCCAUUGUCAUGCUGAGUGACGUCAGAUGUUCUGGUUGGAUCCCCACUGAAUCAAUGGCAAACACAUUGGCCAUGGACAAGGCCUUGGGCUAGGAGCCGGUGGAGUAACAAGGGCCCGGGUCCCCCUGCCCUGGCUGCCAUCCGUCCUUGGGUGGCAGCCCACCUCCCCAGUAUGCCACUAGACUGCACAGCCCAAAGAGGAGGGGCAGCCAUCUUGUCUCUGAACUCUCAGCUAAA